AGGAGGAACAACCCCACUGGCUGCGGCCAGCUCUCCAGCCCUGGAGUCAGUUCCCGCAGUAACUACCGCAGCUCCCAGUCCGCAGGGGCCUGGAUGCUCCCGGGAGCG
rnacentral:pre_miRNA from 1 species